UGUGCUGAGUGGAAAAAAGUGCCUUAAAGAUAACUUCUCCAGGGCCUUAAAUAAAGUAUAUUUGGACUAGAAUUUGAAUAUGAAUCAAGUUAACUGGAAUAGGAAUAUGAAUCAAGUUAAAGAAGUCACAUGUUCUCUUAUUUCUUAUUCUCCAUUUCAGUUUUAAUUUUCUCUUAACCAAGUUAGUUUUUUCUAUUUUUUUAGACUGUUCUUCUUAGUAGGGUUGUUCUAAUAACAAAAUUUCUGGAUAUGGAAUAGAGGAUAUUGAUAUACGGGUAUCAUCAAUUUAUAUGCAUCUAGUUCUUUCAUUUCUAAGGGUACUAGCACCAUAAUUUGGGAGGGAAAUGUUACGACUUUUGAAGGUUUAACCACCUCUGAGACUACUAGAAUAUUUAAAAACACUUUGAAAACAAAAAUAAAGUUAGAGGACUAAUACUAUAUGAUAUUGACAUAUUAUAAAGCUACAGAAGUUAAGGCAGUGUGAUAUUCAUACUAAGACAGAGAAAUAUAGGAGCAGGACAAAGUAAUUUACAAAAUGACCUAUACAUAAUAGACAACUGAUUUUCAACACAGGUGAAAGGAUAAUUCAAUGGUGAAAAAAACAGUCUUUUCAACAAACACUGCCUAGACAAUUGGAUAUCCACAUACAAAAAACAUGGAUGAAUAGACAAAAGUUGGAUUAAUCCUUCACAUUAUAUGUGCAAGCUAACUCAGAAUAGGUUACAAACCAAAUAUGACAUAAAACUAUAUAACUUCUUCUUUUUUUUUUUCAGGUCACACCCGCAGCAUGUGGAGGUUCCCAGGCUAGGGGUCGAAUAAAAACUGCAACUGCAGGCCUAUACCACAGCCACAGUAAUGCAGAAUCCAAGCCGUGUCUGUGACUUACACCACAGCUCAUGGCAAGGCCGGAUCCUUAACCCACUGAGUGAGGCCAGGGAUGGAACCUGAAACCUCACGGUUACUGGUCAGAUUCAUUUCUGCCAAGCCAUGACUGGAAGUCCAAAACUAUGUAACUUAUAAAAGAAAACACAGGAGGAAAUCUUUAGAUCCCUAUAGAGUUUGUACACAAGUGCUCAUAAGAGCUUUAUUUAUAAUAACCAAAAAGUGAAAACAAUUUAAAUUUCCAUCAAUAGGUAAAUGCAUAAAGUGAUGUGGUAACAGCCAGUGGAAUGCUACUCAAUAAUAAAAAUAGAGGAAAUAUUAAUCCAUGCUACAGCUUGAAUGAAUCGCAGAAUAACACUGAAUGAUAAAAGUCAGGGAAAAAAUAUACCUUGUAUAAUUCCAUUUUUAUAAACCUCUUAAAAAGUACCAACAGGUUUUCUGACAGAAAGCAGAUGAAGAGUUUGCCUGGGGAAAGAAGGUCAGGAGGUCUGGAAGGGAGGGAUUAUGAAGAGGUGCAAAGAAACUUUUGAGUGUGAUGAAUAUAUUCAUUACUUUAAGAGGUGGUUCAAAUUCUGUACUUUAAAUAUAUGAAGUUUAUAUAUGUCAACUAUGCUUCAAUAAAGCUGUUAAAAAUCUCUGAAUGGCAUACAUUUAACACAGGUUUAUCUUUAAAUACAUCUUUAAUUUUUUUAAAUUUAUUUUUUUAAAUGUAUUUAUUUAUUUUUGCUUUUUAUGGCCACACCUGGGCAUACAGAAGUUCCCAGGUGAGGGGUCGAAUCAGAACUGCAGCUGUAGGACUACACCACAGCCACAGCAAUCAGCAAUGCCAGAUCCAAGCCGCAUCUGCUACCUACAUCACAGAUGGUGGCAACAUCAGAUCCUUAACCCACCAAGUAGGGUCAGGGAUUGAACUUUCAUCCUCAUGGGUACUUGUCAGGUUCAUUUUCACUGACCAACAGUAGGAACUCAUAAAUACAUCUUUUAAAUGAGCUUUAAAAUGUUAGACUAGCACAGGGUGAGAACACUCUAAGUAGCAGUAACUGCUUCCCUCAUUCGUGCAGUUCUGGCCAUCAUCCCUUUGGGUGUCUUGCUGCUCUCCAGCUCCUAGGUCCAAGGUCAUGAGAAGUUGCUGAGGCUAUUGGCUAGCUCCUUCACUGCUCUUCUCUUUCUAAGAUGUUUUUCUCAGACUUAGAUUCUCAAUAAGAUCCUAUAAGAAAAAAAAUACAUGUUAGGGAGUCCCCGUCGUGGCUCAGCAGUUAACGAAAAUGACUAGUAUCCGUGAGGACGCAGGUUCAAUCCCUGGCCUCACUCAGUGGGUUAAGGAUCCGGCAUUGCUGUGAACUGUGGUGCAGGUCACAGAUGUGGCUCAGAUCCCACAUUGCUGUGGCUGUGCUAUAGGCUGGCAACUAUAGCUCCCAUUUGACCCCUAGCCUGGGAACCUCCAUAUGCUGCAGGGGUGGCCCUAAAAAAAACAGACAACAAAAAAAAGAAAAAAUAAUGUAAAACUGGUGAACACCCUUCUUCCAUUUCCCCCUUAAAAAAACACAUCGGAUCUUAAAGUAAAUAAUAUUUUUCAUUUUUGGUGAUGUUUUGGGUGUUUUUUUUGGGGGGGAGUCAAAUAAAAGCAUUAUCUUUAGUUUUCUGUUUGACAUUUUAGAGGUGAGAGAAUAAGCAGAAUAAGUUAGCCUUUUUUCUAAUGAAAAUUGGUGCACACAGGUAGACUUUAUUAAUUGGUCAAGAUAUUUAGAAAGCGAGAGGGCUGACUCACAGAUCCCAUCUGGUUCUUAACUAAAUUUCAGCCCACAGUCGAGCAGCCCCAAGUGACUGCUGUUUGCUGCACUCGCUUCAUGCAUUUUAAGGACCCCAAAUUCAAAGACGAAGGACUGCCCUGUGGAAAUUUGCCCUGCUUCCCUCUUUCUGUCUUAAUCACUGCCCAUCUCUUCCUUCAUAGGCACCCCUUUUUUGUCUCUUUCUGUGUGGCUGUGUGUGGUCUCCUCUUGUGUCUAUUCCUCCUCCUUUCUUUGACUCUAUUAACUAUAUCAUGAGGUGAAACUUUGCUUUUAUUAUUUUAUUUAUUGAAGGGAAUGUCUGAGUUGCCUUCCUUAAAAGCAGACAGAUACCAUAUUUUUACUCCUUUCAAAAAACCACUCCAUUUACAAUGAAACAAAUAAAAUCUAGUUGUUUUAUGCUUUUUACUUCUGUAUCCUUUAGUUUGCUUUUUUUCUGUGCUAGCGGCACUACUCUUCCCUGCUUCUCCCAGAAAACUACGAUGCUGUUGUAAAGUAAUAAUUUAGUGAAUUAUUGCUGUUUAUAGAUCUAUUUGUUGAUGGCGUCAAGUGCAUUACAACAGAGUUAAUGGUAUGUGUACUUGCUAUUGUCCCUUAGAAUGUUUUUGGUCUAUUUUGAUUGCUAUAAACUUUUGAUCAUUAAAUAAAACUAAUUGAGUAGAUGCAUUUUGUAAAAACUUGCUUAUUUAACAAAAUUGUCAUAAUCUUCAAAAAUGACUUGACAAAAUUAAUUUUGAUUAUGAAAUCAGUAGCAGUCAAUGAGAAACAUCAAUUUUCUUAUAUUGCUUUGGAAACUUUUCGCAUCUUUGGAUGAGAGGGUGAUUGCAAUCGCACCAUUUGCACUGAGAAAACAUCAAAGACGAGCUUUAGACAUUCAGUUUCACACAAUAUAAGAUCCUGGAACUUCUAAGAAAGUUUACUUCAUAAACUUGCUAAUCAGCCAUGAGUCUGGUGUUCUACCAAAUAAAACAUGAAGCCAUGAAUAAUGGAUCUUAUCAACAAUUAAAGUGCAAUAUGACAUAAUCAUAGAGUAAGGCAAAUGGGAAAGAUUACAAAAAACUUUGGAAAUGUUAAGCAAAGAUAUUCUACAUUGAUUAAGGCAAUUCUGCAAGGAGAUUAGGAAAAACGCCCUCUUGAAAUCCUGGGUCUCUGAUUCUCUAUUACAUUUUAUUAUUUUAAUCACUGAAAAUAAACAGUACAAGGCAGGGGAAUUUCCUUUGAAACACAAGUUGGAGAGAACAUCUUUUGCAGUGGCUUUAUUGUACUGCCAUCUCUUUCCAAUUCUGCUCAUACUCUGAGACUUCCUGAUAAAGAGCAGUUAUAAAAGUUCCAAAAUUACACCCACCUGCAGCAGCAAGAUUUAAAGAUGGGAGUAUCUCCAGAAGGAGAGUUCAGCCACAUUCCUAGUGACCUCCGGGGACAUAAAGCAGCCUCUACUGACACACAGAGGCGGGGCCUCAGAGCUCCCCUUGUGCCUCAGUGGAUUAAGGACCCAACUGAGAGGUUGUGGAUUCAAUCCCUGGCCUCACUCAGUAAGGAUCUGUGCUACUAUAAGCUUUGAUGAAGGUCGCAGAUGCGGCUCAGAUUCAGUGUUGCAGCGGCUGCGGUAUAGGCUGGCAGCUGCAACUAACUAUGAUUCAACCAGUAGCCUGGGAACUUGCAUAUGCCGCAGGGGCAGCCGUUAAAAAGAAAAAAAGAGAUCAGACACAACUUAGAAUAGAUUUACAAGGAGAUCCUGCUGAAUAGCAUUGAGAACUUUGUCUAGAUACUCAUGUUGCAACAGAAGAAAGGGUGGGGGAAAAAAUGUAAUUGUAAUGUAUACAUGUAAGGAUAACCUGACCCCCUUGCUGUACAGUG
rnacentral:lncRNA from 1 species